AAACAAACAUGGCGGACUUUGAGUAAGCGCGCCAAUCCGGCGUUCUGUCCCGUAAUGUGAAGAGUGGAGGAUGUUUGUCUUACCUGAGAAGAGUGACAGGUGGAAAACUCUCUAAAAGUCUGAAACUUCGAUGACUUUGGCGGUAGAAGAGUGAGGACGUUACUAAUUUAUCCAAACACCGGCGGGAGGAGCAGAAUUGACAACUUAGAAACCGCAAAACAGCCGAAGGAGGUCCAACCUACGGUCCUGAGAUAUACCGGGUAUGCUAGCUGGACUGUUGGAGUUAGCAUGAUGAGUCGGCACAACUGGAGACUUUACAACUUCUUCUUCGACAUCUGACGAAUAUAUAAGCAGCUGGACUUAAAGGUAAGUCAUCAAACUGUUUUUUUGAAGUUUUUAAAUGAUAAAUUUGUGGAGUUCCUUUUUGUAAAUAGUAGUUAGGCUUUAUGAGUGAUUAAGCCACACCAAGCUAAAAUCCACAGAACUAAUGAUAGGAGGUUUAGCAGCACAUACGGAAAUUAAACAUUUCCAGCAGUGCUCUCAACAUUAUAAGUCAACCACUGUGAAUGAAAUUUAGAUAUAAGGCCACCAUUAUCCUUAAAAUACUGUAAUAAUUAACAAUGAACAUUUCCAAACACCAGUAUAUGUCUAUUUAUAAGGAAAAUAAGGUGUGUGUAACUUAGUUUAUGACUGUAGUUUUUAACUAUAGAAAUACAUAGCAACGGAAGUACUACAAUGUUCCAUUAGAGUUUAAAGUACAAAAAAUUGUGCAUUUAAAUAAACAAUAAUAAUAAUAAAUGGUCAUUAAAAAGUAAAGUCCCAUUUUUUUUUAUUAUUCUUUCGUAUUGUUAAUGUGCUCACCUUUAAAGAUUUGUACAUUACAGGACUUAAUUGUUGCAACUGAUAUAGAUGGUGCUAUUUAUAACUUAACUGCCUACUGCUAACCUAUUUAUGCAUUCUGUGUAAUUUAACCUGUAGAGAGAUUAGUAAUUAAAGUACUAAUAAAGGGUAAGCCUUAAAUGGUAGUCAUUACCUUUUUAAAUGUAGUUAGGUAAAAUUACAUGUAUAAGAAACUCUCAGAUGAAGUAAAAGUUCCUCUAAAGUUCACUCAAGAUGAAUUCAGUGUUUAUAUUUCUGUAUCUAUAAUUUCAAUAUAGAGUUGAAUAUUUAGCUUUUAAUUAGAAGGUCUGUUUAUUUCUAUAGCUCAGGUUUAAUAGCACACCUCUCAUCUAUGAAUCUUUCGUUUGCAUUCUUCUCUCACAUUUGACGGUUUGUGGUUUCUGUUGUGAUCAGAGAUGUUUUUGUUGCACCUGCAAAUCAGGAAAUAAUGCAGAUGAUCCAGUGACCUUUUUAUUUAUUUGUGAUGUGGUUUCGGUACAAGCAGUGUUUGCGACCUGUUUACAUGCUGCCACAUUGAUUGGACAGGAAGUCUCACGGUUGGUAUUAUGUUUCUUUUUUCAUUUUGCAUCCGGUUUCAUGUGAGGUCUCUAUACUGUGUCUCUCAUUUUAGCAGUGUUUGCAAAGUAAAGUUAUAUAGUCUUUAAAAAAAUCACUAGCUAAUUCUGUCUGGUGAAGCAUUAUUCAGGUCUUGCAGCCCUGUGUAGUGACAUUCUGGUCAUGUGCUCAGCUUGUCUAAUCCUCACAGUUUAUUUAAAAUAGUGAAUUGAAGUGGCAGGUCUAGUGUCUGUUAUCUUGUCAUCCGUGCAGCCCUGAGAUGCUUGUGACAGGCUCUCUGACUCCUAGUCACACGGGUUUUAUGGCAUUUCAAGCCUCUCGUUGAAAUGAUUUAUGUGGUUGGCACAGAUGUUGCUCAGAUCCUGAUUUUUCAUUCAAUUACUGAAUCUAUCUUGCUGUUUUAAUUAUGGCUAUGAAAAGUCCCAUAUUCCUCCUCUUCAGCUGCACUUCUCAGCCUGUAUUAGGGCCCUGAGAUAAUGUGUCUGUCCACGCUGCUGUCAGCUACUUUUUCUUCCUCUCUUCCUGUUUUUUCUUCUUUGUGUGUGUGUGUGAGGUGCAGGUAGAGGUAAGUGUGCUGUAUCUUGGUAAAAUUUCAAAGUGGUACUCACACACACAAUUCUUAAAAAGUUAUUCUAAUUAGGAGACUAAACCACAGGGUAUACAACAGAGCAACACAAUAAAUCACCAAUUUAUCAAAUAAGAGUAAGAGUGUUUGCAAACAUCACGAAAAUCUUAAUUUUUUGCAACAAAUCAAGAAAUUAUUUCAUGCUUUCUCACUGAGCAUGUAUAUUUUACCUGUUAGACGAAAAUCUGAGUAUUAAAUUCAAGCUUUUACUCACCUUAUGAUGAAGUUUUAGCCAGCUGUAAGGUAACAAAAUACAAAUAUGUGCUUUAAAUAUUUGUUUGUUUACUAUACACCAUAUUUUUAUCAUUGCAGUGUUUUUUUUUUACAUUUUCAGCAGGCCUAUUUUUUUAUUUUUUUUAAGAUUUGCUCGCAAAGGGUUGAACCAAGUGUAGUAAAAAUAAGAGAAAAAUAAUAUAAAAUAAAGUAAUGACUACACUUUAUAAUGCUACACAUGUUUGGAGUUCAUGCCAACACAGUUAAAUAUGAAAACAAAAAACAUUUCCAAUCCCAACAUAUGAUUUUUCUUCUGAAAAAAAGUUUUCAGAUAUUUAAAACUUUCAUCACUUUUAUUUCACCACAGCAGAACUUGUCUGUCACUCAUUUUUUUCUGUUUCUGUGAAGGCUGUCACUUUCUUCACUGGAGGCUAACUUGUUUUGUAAAUCUCAUUUCUCUCAAAAAGUUUGUAACACUGCAAUCUGCUCAUCAUUCUCACUUUGGCUUCUUGGAAAUGAUAUUCAAACAUCCACAGAGCAUUACUCUUGACAGUCAAAUGCCAGCUUGUGUGGCAUAACAAGAUGACUUAUCUUAAGUUGAUAAGAUAGAUAACAAGAUGCACAUCCUCAGUUCUCGGAAGUGCACAGCAGCAGCCGUAGUGGCGCUGCACUCGUCUGAAGCUCUCUCCUCAGUCCUUGGAGUAUCAGCUUGGCGACGCACUCUUACCUGCUUUUUUUUCCCUCUCUGAGGUUUUGUUUUUCCUACUUAAGUGGCUGAGCUCUUCUCCACGGUUCCAGCAGACCUCAUGCAUUUUUAUUGCCAUCUGGAGAAUACCAACAGGUCUUAACAAGGGGGCUCUUGUUGUAAAAACUGCUUUCCGUGGAGACGGACUCAGAGUCAACUCAUUUGACUGGUUGUGACCUGGUGUGUGCGCCUGCAUGUCCCUGUGUUUGUUCAUAUGCAUGUGUGUACGUGCGCUCCAGGAUUAUUGUUUGAAAGAAAUAUACAGGAAAGAGCUGCUUGUAUAUGCAUCAGCACAGUUUGUUGGCUGUUUGAAUAACACACAAACAAGCACAAAUAAUUCUCGUCUUGUGCCUCCUCUUUCCCUCCCCUCCCUCUCCCAGGAGCACCAGAGUUUGAUGGGCCAUCCCAGACGCCAGUUGACAUUUUGUCCCCAGUCCGACCGGAUGCCACAUAAAAAAUUCACUCAGGCGAGAAGCCGGGAGGAAUACCCAGCUCCCCCCCCACCCACUCUUCAGCGUGUGCCUCUCAGUGGGGAGUGCAAGGUGAGCAGAACUUGAGCUUGUCAUGGCUGCACGCCUCUGACAAACAUAAGUAGAUGCUAAUGGCAAAAUCGUGACAGAGCAGAGUCCCACCACCAUAUGGCUAAUUGCCACAACAAUAUCCUCUGUGUUAUUAAUCACGUUUUCAUAGUGUGCCAUGAUAAUUGGAAUAAUUAGGAGGGGAACAGGCACUGGGAUGCUUCUGCAACAUCCCUUGCUUGGAGAAAAAAUAUAAAACCUUGCAAAAGUGUGUCACUUUCCCCUCUUUGUCCCCCAUGUCAGGUGCUCCCUUCUGCCCAACAGCAUUCACAUUCACCAUCUCAGUCUUUCUUUUGCCUCAUGCUUCCUCUUUUCUUCCUUCUUUCCUUUCUGUCUCGUUCCCUCAGCUUCCUUUGCCUCACUAAUCGCUCUCCUGCUCCCCAUUUCCCCAUCUUGUUUACAGUUUUGCAGUGAAAAAUGAAGUUGAUAAUUAAUGAAUACAGUGACAUGGGGGCCUUGGCUGGGAGCAGUUCUGGGGUGUGGUGCGGGCAUCUCAGGUAGCUGAAUGAGGCCACAUGCCCCACUGAGCCUGAACAAUGAGUGUUUGGGGUUAACCCUUCACGGGCCGGGCUGUUGCCCUCUCAGCAGUUUUUGUGCAGUAGUGGUGUUUUGUCACUUUGGAGGAAAACCCAAAGUUAAUCAGCGAAUCGUGUGUCAGAGUCUUUCGUGGGUAGGACUGGUGUGAAAUACUUGUAUGUAAUCAGCUGGACCUGUUUAUAAAAAAUUCAUUAAUUUUAAAAAUUGUAUGAAAUCAACCUUCAAAAUUAAUGAGUACCCCUUAAGCAGCCCUUUAUAGAGUCCUGUGGGUUGUGAUUAACUAUUCAGUGAUUCAUUCUGCUGUUUGGCCCAUAAAUCUCUCUGUUUAUCCACGAGCAACCUCAAAGUCUUAGAGAUAGCCGAGACAUUUUGAAACCCGAACUUUAUCGAUUCUGACAGCAAGUCAAUCAAUAGGACAUCUGUAGCAUUUAGAUGGUUACUCCCCUCGUCUGGGCUCCUUCUGCCAAAUAGUCCAAGAGAGAGAACUCAAACUUCUCAGGGCGAGUCCUAAUGAAGAGGUCUUUUUUUUUCUUGAGCUGCGUGACCUCAAUCCAAAAAAUGAUGAGUGGAAAAAAAAGGAGGAGAAGAGAGUAAAUAAAGUAUAAGUAUGCUGUAGUAUAAUGCUGCCCUAUUGCUCAUGGCAGUGAUCUAUGAGAGGAAUAAGCUCCUGUUUCAACCGGUCUUCAUUUUCUCGUUAUGGAAAAGCUCUGCUGAGGUAGUUGAGGAUCCAAAACCAUCACUAUGUUUUAUUAAAACUCCUCUUAAUGGCUUCUUCUGAGUCCCAAAGCAUUUUUCUGACAUAAUGAUAAAUAAAAUGAUAACAGCUAAUAGAUCUGUUAAUUGGCAUAAAGUGCAUAUAGUGCUUUAAAAAAGGGAUAAAAAUUAGUGAAAUUAUCCUCAGGUGAUGAAUAAUCUUUUUAUUGAGCAGCUAAAAGAACUGAAAAAUCCGAGUAUUUUUCAUCUGCUCUCAUUAGUAUUUUGUUUUGAGUCAUUAUGUUUUCAGGUCAAUCCAUCCAGAUCUUGUCAAUGCUAAUAUCAGUAAACACCCGAAGGAAAUAUAUUCAAAAUUUUGUCAGAAACGUCACCAUUAGCCAAAUAAAUGGGAUUUUGGUGGUCAAAUGUCAAACCUCUGAAAAACCUUCGUUUGGCCUCAACUUAAGAUCUCUAUCCCAGAUUUCUCUAUUAGUAGGGCUAAGGGCAUAUCCUAGGUGUGGGACUGGGUGACUGGCAGAGUACACCUCAUCCAAUAAACCAAACUGCAGAGAGGUUUUAAGGUGAGGUAAGGUAGACUUUAUUGAUCCUGCAUGGGGGGAACUAUUUCACCACCAGGACAAGGAGUCUCAUACAGACAACAGACAGCAUGGAGACAUCAGAAAAACAUAGACUUACACAAGAUUCUCAACCAACACAGUAAAGGCCAAUGAAACAUGAUUUAAAAGUGGUACAAUGAAAGAUAAGGACAUGAUUAAAUACAACAAAAGCCUGAUAAAAAAUGAAUAAAUACUAAAAUAGUUACCUCUACAAACUAUGCAGCAGUGCCAAGUCAGACCCUAACAUACACUGUUAAAAAUCUCACUGCUGCUGGAACAAAAGACCUUUUCAGUCGUUAAGUGAAGCACUGAGGCAUCACAAGUUGCUCACUAAAAGAGCUUUCAAGACCUUAGAAGACGUAGUGCAAUAGAUGAUUUUUGUAGCCCAGGAUUAAUUGAUUUAGACCUGGUCCUCCUCUCAACGAUGGCCUGAAGAGACUCUGGGACUAAGCCAUUUACUGAUCCGGCCCUCUUGAUCAUCUUGUUGAUCCUUAUUUUGUCGUCAAAUGAUAUGCUGCCCCCCAGCAAAGUACAGCAUAAAAAAGGACUUGAAGAUGAAAGUGUCUUAAAUGAUCAUCAACAGCACUUGAAGAGGUGCUCACCACUUUCUUAAGGUCAAAUCCUGGAGUGGUUUGUUUGCAGUAAGAAUCAAGAUUUGAGGCUGUUCAGGUCUAUAUCCUAUAUCUACGCAUACAUUUGUUCUCCUCUUCUUGUAACCCUUCAAGAAUGUUGCUUAUUUCUAACCAGCCAGUUUAGCUUCAAGCAUUUAGAAACAUGUUUGAGAAAUACUCGAUGACUUCUUCUGAUGAAUGCCGCGCAGCAGUCUCAGAGGAAUUUGGAAAAGUUGGAUGAUUUUUGCAGAAUCACUCGCCGUAUAUCAGCCUUUCUCUGUUUUCUCUAAUCACUCUUAGGGUCUUCAUAAUGACUAGACUCUCCAUUUAAGCAAUUAGCCUCACUGGGGCACCCUGUUAACACCAUUCACACCUCCCUCACUAUCGCUUAUCAACACUUCGCAUGACACAGCCAAAGACCGAGCUAUUUUUUCACCGCACACUUCCCACUCAUUCAGUUCUCUUUUUCACAGCUCCGUCUCUCUUUCUCCAUCAUUCUCUCACUCUGGCAUACAUAGGCAUGUACCCUUCAUACAUGCAAACAGAUGAUUAUGACUCACCUGUGUCAGAUAUGAGCUUUGGUUUUACUCGUAACAUUUCUUCUGAGGAAGGAAGUAUCAGAGACCAGCGUUGUUCCCACUAUUUCCAGUAUUUUUCCAGUCGCUAUGUGCUUCAGCUGAGUGUUCUUUGGUGAAGAUGCCAGUAUUAGGGAUCCAUGAUAUUUGGAUUUUUGUGAUGAACUAAUUGCCAAUAAUUUAAAUCCAAAUUUGUCCAACACAGUCUUCACUACACCAUUUUUUAAGAGCACCAGCUGUCAAUCUGUAAUGAGAAACUGUAAUAAUAAUAAUAAUAAUACACCCCUGAUAUUUGAGUUUGCUCCAAAUGUGCUGUUUCACCUCUUUCUUACCUGUUGCAUCUUCUCCCAGACCUUUAUUGUGCGUCUUUCUCAGGUUCAGUCAACUCAGGCCUGCGAACACAGCCUCAUUAUUCGGUCCUCUCUAACAUCUGCCCAUCAGAAAUGUUUAUAGCUUGACUACAGUUCCAAUCUGUCACACAGACAUCAUAUAACUCUGUGACGUUAUCUGUUUAUUGUUGUCGCACACUCAGGUUUGAUAUGCUGAGCAGACAGAAAAGAGUUAUGGUUCCUGUGCAGAAUCAGGGGGAGGGGACCGGGAGGCUUUUCUACCCCCCGCCUUGUCAUUUCAGACAGUUAUGGACCCAAGAAUGACAAAAAAACAGCUGCUCCUUUGACCAUAAAGCCUGGAGCAGAGCCCUUAAUUGUUCCUGCGUAGAGACGGAAUAAUCUCCACCCAGGCCCACCCUAGAGACCAGGAGUUGAGGGAACAAGAGGAGGCAGAAGGGGAUGUUGUAGCCGGACAAAAAGGCAGGAUGGAUGGAUGGCAGAGUGGGCAGAUUUUGGCACAGAAAUCUGAGGGAGUGGGCGGCAGGUUGAGAAGUCUCCUCCAUUCAUAGCUUCUUCAUAAGCCGUGGACUUGAGACUGAAACUGGGUCAUGUCAGAAAUUAGGGUUCUUUGUUUGUGUUCAUCCGAAUAUCACGAGUAGGCUGGUAAUUUCCAGUGUUGUCUUUUAUAUGUUGAAACCAGCGUUCACAUCGGCGAGCGCUGUUCAGUUUCCGAUUCAGAUAAGCCUCAUACAGGCCAGAAUCUUUCCAUUUAACAGCAACGGAAAAUGCUGAUUUUUUUUAUAGGUUAGCAGGUCGUAUAACAGAACAACAUAACCAGCUGAUUCAGAAAGCUGAUAUGAGAUGAGAGUGUUUUGGGUGCCUGAAAUCAUUCUUCUUUUACAUAUCGGACGCAGCGCAAUACUCUUAUCAGGUUACUAUGGAUAUAAAAAGAAUGAUCAUUUGUGUAAAACUUCCCUUUUUAAUUUACAAAUUAGAUAUUGUAUACAUGCAGCAAUGACCUGAAGACACAAACAUGGGUCAGAUCUGCCUUGGCCCUGCAUUUUUUCUCAUGGCCAGCAGGGCGCUGAAAGAAGUCUGAAAUAAAAUAACCCGUCUUUACACUUGAUGUUUCACCUAAGUGGACAUUUUUCCACAUGUUGUAGGUUCAAGUGUGUAGUCUGAAGAAUGAUUUUGAUUGGUCAGUGAUAGAGGAGUGAUAUUUAACUUAUAGUGCUGUGAACACAGGGAUAAAAAAAGAUGACAUUGAUGUUUGCGCUUAAAAUGCUGAGAUCGUAAAAAAAACUGGACUGCAUUGAUUCUGUCGAGAAUUUGCCCUCAGGGGGAAAUAGACAGAAAUAUGGUGAAUUUUAGAGGUGAAAGUUUAGUUUUACCUUUAGAAACUUCAUUUUUCAGUUUGUAUAUUUUAUGUAAAGGCUUCUUUUCACAAGACAAAUUUGGCAUCUCAAGCUCGUACUGGCCUUUGCAGCCAAUUUUGCAUGCUUGGCUAACUCACAGCUCGACCUUUUCAACCAAAAUCUCUCUCUUCUAGCUCCAGCAAAAGUUUAAGUUUCAAUUGGGUGAUCUCCUCUCAUCAAGUAAUACUUCAAUCUGUUGAUAUUGAUCCGACAAAACACGCAACAGCACAUGAUCAACACACUGACUUCUUACUGCUGCUGCCACUUGUGUUAAUUUGCAGCUAUUACUGUUGCAGCUGCGUCUUCCAGUUCAAAGUCUGAACACCUACUGUUCUUAAGCUUUUACAACGUGGUUCAGUCCUCUCCAUCAAAGGCCUCCUUCAGACACGAAGUCUGAGUGCGUCUGUCACUGUGUUCCUUUCCUGCGUUCCCCUCGCUCUCUUUCUCUCUCUGCCUCUCAUCUCUAGAGGUGAGCUCUAGGUUGCUCCCCAUAUUAGUUUGCUUUCCACUUAAUGAAGCAGCGGAGCAUGAAGGUCCAAGCACUCCUAAACGCUGUGUUCAUUAAACCAAUGGUGCUUAAUGAUGACGGCAAAGACACCCGCGACCCGCCGGCUCCUACUGAGGGCGACCAUUACCGUUAGAGCCGGCCAGCUGGGGGGGAGACGUUAUCAUGGAGGGAGGGAGCUGUCAACUGUCAACAACACUGUCACAAGGACGCUUCGCACCCAGCAGACGGCUGCAGCAGAGACAGUGAAGGAAUGUAUGGAGCACUGUACAGGAUCAGAUGCUCCCCCUUACUCCAAAAAGUUGUGACAACCAGAUUUUGAUAGUUUGCAAAUUCUUUAAACUCCAUAUUUCAGUGACAUUUGUGCAAAGACAACAUAUCAAAUGUUGGAACUGAAAGAUUUUCGCAUUUUUGUGCUAAUCCUUAAAUUUGAUGCCAAAAACACAUUUCAGAACAGCUGGGAUAGGGGCAACAAAACAGUGAAAAAGUUGUGUAAUGUUUUAAAAAAAACAGCUGGAGAGAUAUCUUUCAACUAAUUUGGUUAAUUUGCAGCAGCUCAGAUACAUGACUCUGUAUAAAAUGGGCCAAAUCAGAGAGGCUGAGUCUGUCAGAGGUAAAAAUGGGAAAGGGUUCACCACUCUGUGAGAGGCUGGGUGAGCAAAUAGUUCAGGGUUCAGGGUUUUUAUGAUCUAUAGUAUAUAAUACCAUUAAAACAAGAAGGAAGAGAAUCUGGAUGAAUUCCUGCAGGAAAGGGUCAAGGCCGAACAGCUUAAACAUCUGGGAAGGAACUAGGGCUGGGUGAUAUGGCCUCAAAUCAAUAUCACAAUACAUUGAGCAGUUGACCUUGAUAACGAUAAAUGGACGAUAACUACUCCACAAACUGCUCACCCCCUCCCACAUUAACAUCGUCUACUUCAGCCGCCGCUACAGCCGCUACAGCCGCUACAGCCGCUACAGCUUUUGAACCGUCCUCCAUCUCCUCACCUGUCUUUCCCUCUUUGUUACAGACUGGAUGGGGUGGAGUCACGUCUCGGACCUAGGACAGCGUCUUUAAGGGACAUAAGACCAUGGCCUACCUAUACACAUCCAAAACCAACUUUUAUUUAUUCAUUGUUUUGACACCGAAUAUAUUGACACGGGCAAAAUGACGUCAGUAAUUGUCGUAAAUUUCUGUAUCGGUAAUUUUUCGGUUUAUCACCCAGCCCUAGAAGGAACCAUUGAUGCUGAACAAUGUAUACAGACAAUUACAGGGAGGACUUUAUAGCUCAGUAAGACGAUGCCAAACCACACUCUGCAUGCAUUACAACAGCAUGGCUUUGCAGUAGAAGAGUCUAGGUGGCUACCUGCAGUUUCUACAUGUUAUUUUUAGUUACAUAAAUGAAUUGUAAACCAAAUCAUAUAACCCUGUUUUUAUCAAUGGUUUAAACAGCAUCUAAACUUUUUGGGAGUUGGGGCUGUAGCUGUGGUGUGAUGAUUAUCUCAUGAAGAGUAAAAGAUCUGAGGAGACUUCGUAUCUUGAAUAAAACAGAUGAAAAACAGUAGUAAAGAAAGAUGCACUAAAGGCUCAAGUUUUGCUCUCAGAGGUUAUUGGCACGAGUCAAGUGUCGAAUAACCACUCAAAGUAGGGAGUUAUCUCCGCUUCAGGCUCUGUCUAGUGUUGAACAAGUUGUCAUCAUGAUCAUCGGAUGUUUUAACUCAGGCCAGAGUGACACAAUGAUUUUUAAAUAUACAUAGAAAAAAGAAAUGUUCAGUCAUCACAAAUGAUUUUUUAAUUCUCUAUCUUUCUUCAUUCAGUCAGG